rnacentral:rRNA from 1 species
GGCCAUUGCUAUCAGGGUUUGACUAAGCCAUGCGAGUCGAGAGGUGUAAGACCUCGGCAUACUGCUCAGUAACACGUGGUUAACCUGCCCUAAGGUGGAGCAUACUCCCGGGAAACUGGGGCUAAUACUCCAUAGUGGAUGCAUCCUGGAAUGGUGCAUCCUCGAAAGAUCCGUCGCCUUAGGAUGGGACUGCGCCCGAUUAGGUUGUUGGCGGGGUAACGGCCCACCAAGCCAUUGAUCGGUACGGGUUGUGGGAGCAAGAUCCCGGAGAUGGAUUCUGAGACAUGAAUCCAGGCCCUACGGGGCGCAGCAGGCGCGCAAACUUUACAAUGCGAGCAAUCGUGAUAAGGAAACCCUGAGUGCCUGUCGAUGCAGGCUGUUCAUAUAUCUAAAUCAUAUGUGAAGAAAGGGCAGGGCAAGACCGGUGCCAGCCGCCGCGGUAAUACCGGCUGCUCGAGUGAUGGCCACUAUUACUGGGUUUAAAGCGUCCGUAGCUGGACUGUUAGGUCCCUUGGGAAAUCUUCACGCUUAACGUGAAGGCGUCUAAGAGAUACCGGCAGUCUUGGGACUGGGAGAGGUAAACCGUACUUCGGGGGUAGGAGUGAAAUCUUGUAAUCCUCGAGGGACGACCUAUGGCGAAGGCAGUUUACCAGAACAGCUUCGACAGUGAGGGACGAAAGCUGGGGGAGCAAACGGGAUUAGAUACCCCGGUAGUCCCAGCCGUAAACAAUGUGCGUUAGGUGUGUCGGUAACCACGCGUUACUGAUGCGCCGAAGAGAAAUCGUGAAACGCACCACCUGGGAAGUACGGUCGCAAGGCUGAAACUUAAAGGAAUUGGCGGGGGAGCACCACAACAGGUGGAGCCUGCGGUUU